GCUGACAUAAGUAACGAUAAGGGGAGUGAAAAACUUCCCCGCCGGAAGACCAAGGGUUCCUAUCCCAUGCUAAUCAGGGUAGGGUAAGUCGGCCCCUAAGGCGAGGGCGAAAGCCGUAGUCGAUGGGAAACGGGUUAAUAUUCCCGUACCGACAAUACUGCGAUGGGGGGACGGAGAAAGCUAGGCAGGCAUGGCGUUGGUAGUCCAUGUGAAAGUGUGUAGGAA
rnacentral:rRNA from 1 species